rnacentral:tRNA from 2 species
GCACCGAAGGCGGAAGUGGUGGACGCGCACGCCCGAUAAGCGUUUAUUAGCAGGUUCGACUCCUGCUCGGUGUACCA